rnacentral:rRNA from 1 species
UACAGAGGUCUCGAGCGUUAGGCGGAAUCACUGGGCUUAAAGCGUGUGUAGGCGGGUCGUUAAGUACCUUGUGAAAUCCCAUGGCUCAACCAUGGAACUGCUUGGUAUACUGGCGAUCUUGUGCAACCUAGGGGCGAGCGGAACAGAUGGUGGAGCGGUGAAAUGCGUAGAUAUCAUCUGGAACGCCAAUGGUGAAAACGGCUCGCUGGGGGUUUGCAGACGCUGAGACACGAAAGCCAGGGGAGCGAACGGG